AUUGAACGCUGGCGGCAGGCCUAACACAUGCAAGUCGAGCGCAGCGUCGGACGGGUGAGUACUGCCUAGGAAUCUGCCUGUUGGUGGGGGAUACAGUCCGGAAGGGGGCGCUAGUACCGCGUACUAUCAGCUGAGCCUAGGUCGGAUUAGCUAGUUGGGGGGGGAAAGGACUACCAAGGCGACGAUCCGUAACUGGCCUGAGAGGAUGAUCAGACACACUGGAACUGAGACACGGUCCAGACUCCUACGGGAGGCAGCAGUGGGGAAUAUUGGACAAUGGGCGAAAGCCUGACCCAGCCAUGCCGCGUGUGUGAAGAAGGUCUUCGGAUUGUAAAGCACUUUAAGUUGGGAGGCGUUACCUACAGAAUAAGCACCGGCUAACUUCGUGCCAGCAGCCGCGGUAAUUC
rnacentral:rRNA from 1 species